GUGCGUGUGCUGGCAGGGGAAAAGUGAUCGUGGCAGCGAGAGCAGAGAUGUAGCAGCAGCGUAGCUCGCUUUCGACUCCGCGGCCAGCCGUCUGUCACUUUUACCUGGAACCCGUUCGUGCCGGCUUUGCCGCGUAAUGCGGGACGGCCGAGGGAAUUCGCCUUUGCACAGUGACUCUGAAUGAACGCGCCGCGUAAUGCGACCCGGACGAGUCGCCUUCGGAGGGAAAUAUUUAUGUUUCGGGACGGUUUUGUCGGAGUAGCUAGUUGCUAGCGUUGGGCUAGCGGCUGUGCGGGCUGCUCGGAGCGUUUCCUGCGAGGAUGCUACGGUGGAUACGACAGCAGCUGGGCUUUGACCCUCCUCAUCAGAGUGAGACCAGGACGGUUUAUGUAGCCAACCGGUUCCCCCAGCAUGGCCACUACAUACCACAACGGUUUGCAGACAACAGAAUCAUCUCAUCCAAGUACACAAUCUGGAAUUUUGUACCCAAGAAUCUAUUCGAGCAGUUCAGAAGAAUAGCCAACUUCUAUUUUCUCAUCAUCUUCCUUGUACAGUUAAUGAUAGACACCCCCACUUCCCCAGUCACCAGCGGCCUGCCUCUUUUCUUUGUGAUCACAGUAACUGCUAUAAAACAGGGCUAUGAGGACUGGCUGAGACACAAAGCCGACAAUGAAGUGAACGGCGCUCCAGUGUUUGUGGUUCGCAGUGGAAGUUUGGUUCAAACAAGAUCCAAGAACAUUCGGGUGGGAGACAUCGUCCGCGUGGCUAAAGAUGAAACAUUUCCAGCUGACCUUGUGUUGCUCUCGUCGGAUCGUGCAGAUGGUACCUGUCACAUCACCACAGCCAGUCUCGAUGGAGAGACUAACCUUAAGACCCACUACUCUGUUGCAGAGACUUCGGUGUGUCAGUCAGUGUCCCAGUUAGAGGCAUUGCAGGCUGUGGUGGAGUGUCAGCAACCAGAGGCUGACCUAUACAGAUUUGUCGGUCGCGUCACAGUGACUCAGCAUGGGGAAGAGAUCGUCAGACCGCUGGGUCCAGAGAAUUUGCUGCUGCGUGGAGCCCGGUUGAAAAAUACCAAAGAGAUUUUUGGUGUGGCAGUUUACACAGGAAUGGAGUCCAAGAUGGCUCUCAACUACAAGUGCAAGUCCCAGAAACGCUCUGCGGUAGAGAAGUCAAUGAACACCUUCCUGCUCAUAUACCUUGGAAUCCUGUUGUCUGAGGCCGUCCUCAGCACCAUCCUCAAAUAUGCCUGGCAGGCUGAAGACAAAUGGGACGAGCCUUUCUACAACCAAAAGACUGAUCAGGAGAGGAACAGCAGUCCGAUAUUAAAGUUCAUCUCAGAUUUCCUGGCAUUUCUGGUCCUCUAUAACUUCAUCAUCCCCAUCUCACUUUACGUUACUGUGGAAAUGCAAAAAUUUCUGGGUUCAUUUUUCAUUGGCUGGGACUUGGACCUGUACCACGAGGAAAGUGACCAGAAAGCUCAGGUCAACACCUCUGACCUCAACGAGGAGUUGGGCCAGGUGGAAUACGUGUUUACUGAUAAGACGGGUACGUUAACAGAAAAUGAAAUGCAGUUCCGCGAGUGUUCGAUCAGUGGAACAAAGUACCGGGAAGUUAAUGGCAAAUUGGUACCAGAGGGAAUGACAGACGAUUCCCCAGAUGGUUCUACGCCUCACCUGGUUGGUGAGGAAUUGCUAUUCCUCAAAGCGGUGUCGUUGUGCCACACGGUUCAGAUCAGCUACGACCAGCCCGACUGCCUGGUGGGGGGAGGGGACCCGUUUUCCCAUGUCAAUGGUUUCUCUUCCAAUCACAUGGAGUACUACGCCUCCUCGCCGGACGAGAAAGCUUUAGUGGAGGCAGCAAAAAGGAUUGGAGUGGCGUUCACUGGCACCAGUGGAGAUACCAUGGAAAUCAAAACUUUUGGCAAGACCGAAAAGUAUAAACUGCUUCAUGUUUUGGAGUUUGACGCUGACCGUCGGAGGAUGAGUGUCAUCCUCCAAACUCCCUCAGGAGGUCAAGUGCUUUUCACCAAGGGCGCAGAGUCUGCCAUCUUGCCCUUCACAACAAGUGGUGAGAUUGAAAAGACCAGACUGCAUGUCGACGAGUUUGCCUUGAAAGGAUUACGGACCUUGGUGGUGGCGUGUCGCCACUUCAGUCCGGAGGAGUACAUCGAUGUGGACAGGCGCCUGAAUGCUGCCCGCACUGCUCUGCAGCAGCGGGAGGAGAGACUGCAGGAGGCCUUCAGCUACAUCGAGAGAGACCUGCAGCUCCUGGGAGCAACUGGAGUGGAAGACAAACUUCAAGACAAAGUCCAGGAGACCAUCGAGGCUUUGCGGCUGGCAGGGAUCAAAGUGUGGGUGUUGACAGGCGACAAACACGAGACAGCAGUGAGUGUCAGCCUGUCCUGUGGCCACUUCCACAGAACCAUGAACAUCUUGGAGCUCCUGCAGCAGCGCUCCGACAACGAGUGUGCCGAGCAGCUCCGCAGACUUGCCAGAAGAAUAAAGGAGGACCAUGUCAUACAGCACGGUCUGGUCGUUGAUGGAGCCAGUCUGUCUUUAGCUUUGAGGGAACAUGAGAAACUCUUCAUGGAAGUGUGCAAAAACUGUUCAGCCGUGCUGUGUUGCCGCAUGGCCCCACUACAGAAAGCCAAGGUGGUACGACUUUUGAAGACCUCUCCGGAGAAGCCUAUCACCUUAGCGAUUGGAGAUGGAGCCAACGAUGUCAGCAUGAUACAGGAAGCCCACGUGGGCAUAGGUAUCAUGGGGAAAGAGGGUCGUCAGGCCGUGAGAAACAGUGACUAUGCAAUUGCCAGGUUUAAGUUCCUGGCAAAACUUCUGCUGGUCCACGGUCACUUCUAUUACAUUCGAAUAGCUACGCUUGUACAGUACUUUUUCUACAAGAAUGUGUGUUUUAUCACGCCCCAGUUUUUAUACCAGUUCUUCUGUUUGUUUUCACAACAAACUCUCUAUGACAGUGUUUAUCUGACACUCUACAAUAUCUGCUUCACCUCGCUGCCCAUCCUGGUGUACAGCCUGUUUGAACAGCUGGUCCAUCCACAUGUACUGCAGAGUAAACCUGGCCUGUACAGGGAUAUCAGCAAGAACGCAAUGCUGUCUUUCCGGACGUUCCUGUACUGGACCCUGCUGGGCUUCUGUCAUGCCUUCGUCUUCUUCUUCGGGUCCUACAUACUGAUGGGAGAGGACACCACACUCAUGGGCAAUGGACAGAUCUUGCGAGCUAACAGGCAGCUGAUGUUCGGGAACUGGACCUUUGGAACACUGGUCUUUACUGUUAUGGUCAUCACUGUGACGUUAAAGCUUGCAUUAGAGACACAUUUUUGGACGUGGAUGAACCAUUUUGUGACAUGGGGCUCGAUCGCCUUCUAUUUCAUCUUCUCUCUCUUCUAUGGAGGCAUCAUCUGGCCUUUCCUGCACACGCAGGACAUGUACUUCGUCUUCGUGCAGCUCCUGUCCAGCGGCUCGGCCUGGUUCGCCAUUAUCAUCAUCGUCAUUACCUGCCUCUUUCCAGAUGUGGUGAAGAAGGUCUUCUACAGACACCUGCAUCCCACAAGCACACAGAAAAGUCAGAUGGAAGAGGGUGAGGGUUCAGUCGGCCCAGAAUAUGACCCUGUUAAAGCCCAACGGAGCCCAGGGGAGGACAAUUGGCACCUGCUAGCUGCUUAUCCUCCCCCUGCUGCCCCCGGCCCAGACCCAUGCUCCCCUAGUCUCUAUCAGCCCCCCAGGCGCAGGACCUCAGCUGUUUGGAGUCCCUGUGCUGCUACCAACAUGGGCAGAGCGGCUGUACCCGCCUGGCCCGCCUCCUGGAGCACAUGACCGGACAGUGCAAGGCCAGCGCCAACAAUUGCCACGCGUCCAGCCGUAGCAACAGGUCUUGGAGCGACACGGAGAACUUCUACUCCAACGAUCGCAGCAUCCUGACGCUGUCGCCCAUCGAGGCCACCCACUGCUGACUCCCCGGGCCACAGACUGUAACACACAUGCACCCACACACAUACACAUACACACACGCACACACACAGCCCUUUGGGGAAGAGCUGCCGCUCCACCAUGACUCAUAAUCACCCCCCGGCCCAUUCCCCCCCCCCCCGCCAUCAUUUUAGAAAUUUACUUCAUUUCAAACUCAGCUGGAUGCCGAAACAGACGACUGCUUUUCCUUGGCCGGUCGGUUCCUGCGGUGGAUCCACUCUCGGCAGAACUGAGAGGAACAUAAGACAGAAACUGCAACACUGAAGGAGAUGAAAUGUGAUGCAUUCAGCCAGACUCCACUUUGGAAGAUCCCAACGCUUCCCUGCUGCUUGCUCACUUGAAUUCAUGACCUUUAUAAGCGUCUUUACGGGUCGGAGUUUCACCCGUCUCAGCUCCACCUUAUACUAUUUUACUGGAGCUGUAUGGUUUCCCAGUUUCACAUCAGUUGACAAGCUGUUUUUUUUUUCUCAUCUUGCCGCUGAUGUUAGAAGGACGUGGAGAGUGAGAGGUCCGGACUGGUCGACCAGCCUCGCUGUAGGACUCGCUUUGACAAACCAGGCUCCUCUGUGUAGCAUGAAGCUCUGCGGAGUUGGACCACAUUAAGCUUCCACCAACCGCUACGCUGAAAACUCCUGCUGCACUUUGGCGUUCAGACUGAAAGGGAAAGAGCCGAGGCGCCCGCAGUCCCGUAGCAUCUCGUACCUCGCAGACCCCCGGGCCCCGUCGGGACUCUGAGAGUCGCCCGUGCCGCGGCACCAAAGACCAAAGGAUUCAGACUGGAAUUUCAAAAGUGUUUAUUUUUGUGCCUGACUGUACAGAAGCUUAUAUAUUGUUGUUGGGAAGAUUUGUUACUGUUCGUGCUGCUCUCUCGUCUCGACUGUUUGGGCCUCCUUUCUUUCCCGCUGCGUCGCUCAGAAGGAGGCCGGACGUUAUAAAAAGCCAUAAUACACUUCGGAGAGGUUUUAUUAUUGAUAGAUUACCGACGGUACUGCAGUUGGAAGCUGUUUGAGCCAGUUGUUUCUCUGUACUCGUUCCCUUUGAAUGCCUUUUCUUGAUCAGCCCGACGACCGACAGCAUCUCUGCAUUAAAGUCCGAGACGACGAGGGACCAGUGGCCACCUUUACAGGAGUUCUAAUUCCCCUUCAGUUCCAAACAAAAAAUAAAUCCUCAUUAAGAUUAAAAACUACCUUGUAAACUCCUAAUCCUGAAUGAAAAUGACUAUUCUGAAAUAUGUAAUAAUAAAUAAUUCCUCCAUUAUGAAUACGUCAAUUCCACUUUCGGUAAAUUCCAGUCGUUCUACUCAUGUUCGUUCCUUUUCCUGCUGCGAUGGCCGUACACGUGUUUUCCAUCCAUCAAUUCAGAAUUACCGUUCCCACAUAAACAAUGCUUUAAUUCCAAAUUGCGUAGUUCUGAAUAAUUCUGAGUGAAGCAGCCUGGUGUAGCCGUGCCCACUGUGAGGCGAAGGAGCCUGAAAACGGAACCGUCUCUUGGGUUUUAGUCUAGGAGUGGCUUUAAUGCGGAGGUGCUGUUUCUCCGGCUCGUGGCUGAUGCGUCUCGACUCAGACGGCCGAAUGUCUCCACAUUCAGAAGGAUGAAUACCGAUAUAUUUUUGCUCUCUUCAAAGAGGUAUGGAAAAGCAGAGCGUUUGCACAAAUCACAUAUCAAGAGUCACCUUCAUGAAGUUGUUUUUCCUCUGCAAAGCGCCGUCAUUCAUCUCGACUCAUUUAAAUCACUUUUUUUUUUGCUGUUACAUUGUUUUCGUCAUGCGUGUGUUAAUCCACCAGCUGUUGAGAUGUUUUGUGUGUGAGCGUACCUGGGAAUGUGUUUUUGUUUUUUUUUCUGCACGGCGGUCAUGCUGGUCGAAGCAAGUCCGUCUCGGCGGCUCUUCAGACGGACGCCGCCUGCCAGGUUCAGAGGUUGAUUCUGUGCUCGAAGGACAGGGGUUUGACUCCUGAAGGCUGCUGCCAGACGUGCGGUGUAGAGACCUCUGAAGACAACCGUUUUAGACCGCAGGUGGAGUCGCGGGAAGUUCGUGUAGCCGAGGUCUGAAGGCCUCCUCCACAUUCAAGUCGCUCCAAUGAUUUCCAGUCGGUGCAGUGAAUAUUAUUGAUGUUUCCAUUUCACGGUUUGGUACGUGUCCUUUCUUUCUGUUCACACAGAAGCAACUGACAGUGGAAGUGUAUUUAUUAAUGUUGUACUUUUUGUUUUGUUUUGUUUUCCUCCUGUAUUUGUGUUUUCUGUAUCGGCGCAUCUCUAAAGGAGCUGUUGAUAUGUGGGCUGAUAUUUGGAGUUGGGAGCGAGAUCACUCCCUCCAGCAGACGAUCACACGGUUUGUCUCUAGACCUCAUUUAUAUGAGCAAUGUUUUAAAUCAGUUGACCUCAUAUCUGUUAUUAAAGUAUCUGUCU